rnacentral:rRNA from 1 species
UACGUAGGUGGCAAGCGUUGUCCGGAUUUACUGGGCGUAAAGAGCGCGCAGGCGGUCGUUCAAGUCGCGUGUGAAAGCCCCCCGGCUCAACUGGGGAGGGUCACGCGAUACUGAUCGACUCGAAGGCAGGAGAGGGUAGUGGAAUUCCCGGUGUAGUGGUGAAAUGCGUAGAUAUCGGGAGGAACACCAGUGGCGAAGGCGACUACCUGGCCUGUUCUUGACGCUGAGGCGCGAAAAGCUAGGGGGAGCAAACGGGG